CUUUGACCAUCUCUAAUUGUGUCUUGCUUUUAAGGUCCGCGUGCUUAAAAUUCUAGGCCUGACCCAACCCACGUGCGUGCCGUGCCGUACCGAAACGUGCUUAUGCCAUACUGUGCUAUAGGACACAUGCCGUGCCCGUAUCGUACCGCGUGCCGCCCGGCCCAUUGGCCAUCUUUAUUUUUAACUAAGGAAUUCCAUCAAACAGCAGUAAGAAUACACUUUUUGAAGUAUACAAUGUUUGCAUAAACAACAAUGGAGGUAUAAGGAAUUUGCUUGUAAUGGUCAACUGUCAAACAGGCAAUGGUGGCUCUUUCAAAAUGCCAGGAAAGAUUAGUCAAAGGAUAGCAUGCCUAUUAGUUUUGGCCGAUGAAACAGAUUCCUUAGAGUUGAAUCAAUUCACAAACUCUAGUCCUGUCAAAGGAGUCCCCCAUGAAGUUGAAGGGCAACGUCGCCAACAACCUGUAAUUGUACAAUCAAGAGAGAUGCAUAUAGG
rnacentral:lncRNA from 1 species